rnacentral:lncRNA from 1 species
GCUCCACGGCCACAUCCGCAAAAAGGGUACUGGUGAACGUGACAUUUUCACGAAGCCACAGCCCAUGGUCACUCCCUGCAAAGCUCUGAACUUGCGCAUUCCCAGGCCAGGCCGUGGUUGUCUUUCCAAGGCGGCUCAGCUUGUGCUUUGCUUGGAGAGAGCGGAGGGCAGCAGCACAGUGACAGCGUCUGGGACCUCAGACCAGUUUCCACAGCCACUUAUGAAAGCAGACGGCUCCAUGGGCUGGAGGAGGUGGGACGCUCUGGAAAGAACUCGGGUGCGAGUGGGAAAGAAAAUCGAGCUGAGCAGCGGGAAGUCGAAGUCGCGUGAGUGAGGACCAGACACUCUCGAUUUAGGCAAAGGCGGGGUGCACUUCCCAACAACACAUCCUCCUCACUGGCGAGACCAGGCCUGCCCUUCAAGUUCCUCUCCUGAUUUAAUCCCCUUGGCGAGGGUUUGGCAUGAAAUCAAUGGCCAGCAAGCUUGGUAAACGAAGCCGCCUACACCGCCCUCCCCCUCCCUGCACGGCCGCGCCCCGCCUCCGCUCCUGUCUCAAUCUGGGAUUGUCCUCCUGUAGCCCCACCAUCCACCGUGGGGAACGGUGGAGAGACUACAACUCCCAGUAUGCACCGCGAUGCGCGCCUCACCCUGCAUCUCCCAGCCCGCAGCCAGCUGGCAUCCUAGACCCUCUGCCCUGCGACCAACAGCCGGGAGCGGACCAGACACCAGAACUCCCGGAACGGUUGAAGACGGUUCCGCUCCCUGUCCCGCCUUUCGCAGCCCAGCAGUUUCGCCCUGCGGAGAGGAGCCUUGCUGUUUCCAAAUCUCUCCUGCUGAAGAGACAUUGGAGCUAGGGCGGCUAGUUUCACCUGGUAAUUGUGACACCCUGUCUCCUCGAGCUGCAGGCUUUUAUGCUUGUCAUGUUCGAAGUUUGAUACCUUGCAGAUCAACAAAGGGUCGGUGGCCUCUCACUGCCUCCGCGGCAGGGUUGUCAAGGCAUGCGCAGUGCGGCCCGUCCCUAGGGCUGGGUUAAGGGCCGCGGAUGUGGCAGUUCUCAGGCCUCUUGGGAUCGCCUCAAGAAGCCCCCUCACGAGUGUCUCGAUUUCCUGUCAGCCAACAAAGGGCCGUUCGCCUUUCAUGGCCUCCACAGCAGCGUUGCCGUGGCUGUCACAAAUUCUCUGCACCCCAGGAGUGCCGCUUGGACCCCCGGGCUCGCUGCGUGGUCCAUAUCUAGGUCGGGCCUCUCACGGAGACUUUCCCACCAGUGUAAUAAAGAGGAGAAAACGUCACAGCGGAAGGGCCUGACCCUGCUGCAUCCACUAAGGAAACAGCUACGGGGAUGGGACCCUGGAAGCUGCUGUGGGAGCCUCAUCCACCGCUUCUCUGACCCCACCCAGGCUGCUUCCCAGGCCUCAGGGUCUUAGUGUGGACCUCCGGGCCGUGAUUAAUGCAGGUUUUCAGGUUAAGUACUGCACGACUACUCGCUUCUGAAACUGAUAGACACUGCCUCAGCUCCGUGCAGGGCAGACGCACAAGAGCAGAAUCUCCGUGGGACAUCUCUCUGGAGCAUCAAUAUUACUGCAGUAUUUGGAAGAAACAAAUUUAAAUAAGUUCUAAGGUAAAGAAUGGAACAUUUAAGACAAGUCUGGAAAGUCAUCUGCCUUUAAUAACUGUCGUUUGUCCUUAACGUCAGACUUUCUCCAAGACAAAAACUCUAAGAACUUAUUUCCAUUCUUACAAAUAGUAAAAAUGAUAAAUCAUAUCAAGUCAAUUGAAAGUCCUGCCUGCUGCUUUCCUAAAUCACAAUAUGGCCUUGGUAUGGUUUUAUUUGUACUUUUGUGGGGGAUUCGUGGAUCUUUAGAUUAAAAAAAAAAAUAGGUUUUUGAACAAUUUUUGCAAGUUUGCAGCUGUUAGUUAUUGAUUUAUUUUUGCAACCCAUCUAAUUCUUCUGUCUCUCUCCUCUCCUCAGGCUCAAUAAUUCCAUGGGUCUCUAAGGCUGUGUUUAUUUUCUUUAAAUUUUGUUGAUUUACUUUUAUACUCCAUUUGAUUUUUUCUAUCUCUCACCUUUUCUCAGACUCAGUCAUCCCACAGGUCUGUAAGGCUCUGUUCAUUUUCUUUAAACUUUUUUUUUUCCUCUCCUCAGAUUGGAUAAAUUAUAUUGCUAUGUCUCUGUUUCUGAACUAUAGAAAAGCUCAAAAUUACUAUUUUUAUUUCUCAUUUUUUAUAUGGCUAUUUUUUCUCUGCUGAUGUUUCACAUCUAUUCAUUUAUGAGAAUAUUUUCCUUUGCCCUCAUGAGCGUGUUUAUAAUAGCUGCCUUCAAAUUCUUGUCUGCCGUUUACAUCUUGGACAUCUUGGAGAUGGCUACUGCCUGCUUUUUAUCUUGUGUAUUUAUUACAUUUUCACGUGUCUUCACGCAUCUCUUGAAUUGGAAAUUGUGCCCUGGAGACUGUAUACAAGACUGGAUUAAAAAGACUGGAUUCUGU